rnacentral:tRNA from 1 species
GAGGGUAUAGCUCAAUGGUAGAGUGCAUGCUUAGCAUGUGUGAGGUCCUGGGUUCAAUCCCCAGUACCGCCA